rnacentral:rRNA from 1 species
GGUCCCCGUUGGUGAACCAGCGGAAGGAUCAU